UACGGAGGGUGCAAACGUUGCUCGGAAUCAUUGGGCGUAAAGCGCACGUAGGCGGCCUGAUAAGUCGGGUGUGAAAGCCCUGGGCUCAACCCAGGAAGUGCACUCGAAACUGUCAGGCUUGAAUAUGGAAGAGGGUCGCGGAAUUCCCGGUGUAGAGGUGAAAUUCGUAGAUAUCGGGAGGAACACCAGUGGCGAAGGCGGCGACCUGGGCCAAUAUUGACGCUGAGGAGCGAAAGCGUGGGGAGCGAACAGG
rnacentral:rRNA from 1 species